rnacentral:rRNA from 1 species
GAUGAACGCUAGCGGCAGGCCUAAUACAUGCAAGUCGAACGGUGUCUUCGGACAUAGUGGCGCACGGGUGCGUAACACGUAUGCAACCUACCUUACAUUGGGGGAUAGCCUUUCGAAAGGGAGAUUAAUACCGCAUAAGACAGUAGCUGGGCAUCCAGCAGCUGUUAAAGAUUUAUCGAUGUAAGCUGGGCAUGCGUCCAAUUAGCUAGUUGGUGAGGUAACGGCUCAUCAAGGCAAUGAUUGGUAGGGGAACUGAGAGGUCAAUCCCCCACACUGGCACUGAGAUACGGGCCAGACUCCUACGGGGGGCAGCAGUAGGGAAUAUUGGGCAAUGGACGCAAGUCUGACCCAGCCAUGCCGCGUGCAGGAUGAAGGCGUUAUGCGUUGUAAACUGCUUUUAUACAGGAAGAAACGACUCUUGCGAGAGGCAUUGACGGUACUGUAUGAAUAAGCACCGGCUAACUCCGUGCCAGCCGCCGCCGUAA